ACUUGACUGGUUCAGUUAGUGGAGCAUGGGACUCGUGAUCUCAGGGUUGUGGGUUUAAAUCCUACGUUAGGUG
rnacentral:tRNA from 1 species